rnacentral:rRNA from 1 species
CCUACGGGUGGCAGCAGUGAGGAAUAUUGGUCAAUGGACGAGAGUCUGAACCAGCCAAGUAGCGUGAAGGAUGACUGCCCUAUGGGUUGUAAACUUCUUUUAUAUGGGAAUAAAAUGUUCCACGUGUGGGAUUUUGUAUGUACCAUAUGAAUAAGGAUCGGCUAACUCCGUGCCAGCAGCGGCGGUAAAACGGAGGAUCCGAGCGUUAUCCGGAUUUAUUGGGUUUAAAGGGAGCGUAGGUGGAUUGUUAAGUCAGUUGUGAAAGUUUGCGGCUCAACCGUAAAAUUGCAGUUGAAACUGGCAGUCUUGAGUACAGUAGAGGUGGGCGGAAUUCGUGGUGUAGCGGUGAAAUGCUUAGAUAUCACGAAGAACUCCGAUUGCGAAGGCAGUUCACUGGACUGCAACUGACACUGAGGCUCGAAAGUGUGGGUAUCAAACAGGAUUAGAUACCCGUGUAGUC